CGGCAACAGCUCAAAUUUGAAAUCUGGCUCUUUCAGAGUCCGAGUUGUAAUUUGUAGAGGGUGCUUUGGCGUUGGCUGCGGUCUAAGUUCCUUGGAACAGGACGUCAUGGAGGGUGAGAAUCCCGUACGUGGCUGACAGUCUUCGCCGUGUAAAGCCCCUUCGAC
rnacentral:rRNA from 1 species